GCAGAACAUCUGCUGAGUCAGCGUGAAGCAACGAAAGCAGCUACUGGCAAGGUUGAGUGCGCUCUUUGUUCAGAAUACCACCAGGCUCAGUCUUCACUGUGAUUCGUGCUCUGUUACUGUCCAAUCUAGAAACUCUAUCAAAUAACAGCAUGAAGCCAGCGCAUUUGCAACGACAUUGGAAGGCAAAACACCCUGUGCAUGUGGGGUAGCCAGGAGAAUGUUUUCAGAGUUCCGGAAUUGCCAGCUUUAAAUGAAAACAAGCUUUGGUGCUAUGGGAGCUCAGAGGGCAGGUGCCAGAGAGGGGCUAUUGCUGAUGAAGCAGAUGUUGCUGAAACCAGUCCGAACAUGGAAGUCACCCCUAUCUGUAUGGUCCUUGUGCCUCAUAUGUGGCUGCACGGCGCCUUGGUCCAGCCAACCAGAAGUGGAAUCCAUGCACAUCCCUCUCCACCACUCACCUCUCUUCCUUCAUUCUGUCUCAGGCUUUAGGCCCAUCGAUGCCCCCUGGUAUUUGGGGCUCCCUUUCCCUGCACUCACUUCACCUGUUCCCUCCCCCUGCAGAGCCAGGCCCCAAGGCUUUCUCUAUAAACAUUUCCAGAAGCCAGGGUCCCACGUCCUUCCGACUGCUGUCCCGGGCAUGUGGCUGGCUGUGUGCAUACAGAGAGUUGACUCACAGGGCUCUGUGCCUAUGCUCUCAAGGGUACCAGCUGCUGGCUGCAACCCCACCUUACUCCAAACUCAUUCUAAUACACAGAGGGUGGUACUUGCACUUAACAUCUUUGACACUGGAUUUGGGGAAUAAAGGUUAGACUCCUUAGAAAAGGGCAAUGCACAUUUAAUACACAAAGCCUGGCAGAGUCCAGUAGUGGCUGCAGCCUUUUUUAAGGGUGACCAGAGGUUAAGGGGGAAAUAUCGGCACCGCCACGGGGGGCGGUUUUUUUUGUUUUGUUUUUUUACACUCACUUGUCCGGGAGUUUGGCUGCAAUUUGGCAGAAAGCCCUUCAGUCACGCAUGAUCUUCAGUGGUAUUUCAGCAUGGGGUAAUAAAUCUUGUGUCCAAAGACAGAAGCACCUGCCACCAAAAUACCGCCAAAGACUGUCCGCGACUGAAGGACUCUCUGCCGAAUUGCCGCCGAAGACCAGGAAACAAAAUAUCAGGACAAAUGGAGUCCCGACUGCACUCUGGUCGGGAUGUUGGACAAACUCUUCAAAAUCAGGACAGUCCAGAUUUUAUUGGGACGUCUGGUCACCCUAAGCCUUUUGGAGGGAGGGGUGGUGAUGGGAUCUAGGGAAUGCCGCUGCCUGCUCCAGAAGUGACUGGCAGGUGAGCAUGGUGCUGUGUCCCUACAGCACUCCCCAACAGUACAGCUCACAUCUGCAUCGCAUGCCAACCCUGCCAACCCACUGCCUGCAUGUCCCAGCACACAAUGCAGCUGUUCUCACCACAGACCUGAAAUUACCCUAAGUCAGUAGAAAAUCCCAGCCUUCUGCACAGUCAGAUGCCAGAUAUCCUGCUGCAGAGUGUGGUUCACUCCUCACCUUUCCCAGGUGUUUCCCACUGGCAAUGAGUUGAACCGACCAUUCACAUUCACUUCUGUCCCCAUUCUCCAGAGCUUGGCAUUCUGUGCAAUAACGGGAACUGAUCACCAGCUAAAUGUCAAGUAUCCCCCUGUGAAAAUGUUCAGGGUCCCCCCACCACACACACACAGAGAAUACGUUUCAAUGAAGAAAGCAUCCACACCAUCAAAAACAAACCAAAGAUGAGAGAACUCAGCCACCCCCGAGACCAUGUCCUCUGCCUCUCCAGCCCUGUGUGAUCUCAUUGUGUACUAGCAUCUGAAAGCCCAUUCCAUCACAUGGGCGUGGCGGGUGACCCACCUUCUGUGCAGUCUCCCUCAAACAACCAAUGAAAUUGUUGCAUGUAAAUUAAUUGUCAAGUAAGUGUGGUGACUGGCUGAGUUACCUCACAGUGGCCUAGGACCCUGGGCAUGGCAUAGAUACAUGCCUUACUGUAGCUGUACAUCACACGGGUGUAAUCGUGAAGACAAAAUGCCUGAGAACUUAAAAACUGAAUGGUAACAGACCGUGAAUCCCACUGAAGACUGAACCUGGUGAUAUUCUGAAGCAAAAGAGCUCUAGAGGCUGCCUGUAGCUGCUUCCACCAUCUCCUCACACUGACUCAGACUUUCCAGCCUCCAGGGUGAUGUUCCUGGAAUCUUCUUAUAUCUAUGAAUAUGCACAGCUCAAGGGCCGCAGGACAGUGUCAGCAUGGGAACUUCUGGAGAAUGUUAAACAAAAGCUACUAAGGCACUCGUCAUCUUCCCCAUAUGGACUCUGAACUGCCUAUCGUGAAGGAACAGUUCAACGACACCUGUGACCCAAGGUAGCAGGACCCGUGAUACCUUCAUGAGCAGGCCAGUUUGCCCUCCCAUAUCGUUAGGUCGAUGAAAACAGCACCUGUUUUCAAUUUUCUCUGGAAGCCAUUUUCAACAAAUGCGGUCAAUGCAUGUACUUGGUUGCAUGUGCUAUGGCCAUGACAUCAAUGAAAACAAAAUACCCAGCCAGGAUGAACGCUGACCAUGACAUGCGUGUGUGCUUGUCAAAGACACCCCCAUGCCUGGACAGAAUUGUUGAUCAGCACCAGCAACAAGUUUCACACUAAGGGCAGGUCUGCACUACGGGGGAGAUGUUCUCCAGUUGACCUCCCUUACUCUUCUGGAAGAGCUGGAGUACUGGGGUUGUCCAGAGAACACUAGACCUGCAAAGUCGAUCCCUGCUGCAUCAAUUGCAGCACCGUCGAUUUCCCUGUAGUGAAGACUAGCCCUGACUUUUCAGCUCGGCUUUAAAGCAUCAGAUAAAACAAAAGAAGAGAAGCAAAGGGCUCUUUUGAUUGCACUGCUCUUCCAUCACAGCAAGGCUCCUUUUUGGCUCACGCAACCGUCACAUGGGGCCCGCUUCCCUGCCGUCUCUCAGCCCCUGCCCCAUUCUCUGAGCACUGGUCCCAGUUAGUCAUUGACCAGCAGCUACCUUGUGCUAAUUGACUUUAGCCAGCGUUCGCCUACCCUUUUCUGUCCCGCUCUGCAGAGAAGGGACGGCAAAGCUGACUGAAACUGACAAGAUUUCUUUUCAUAAAAGAAAAGGGAGUGAGCCUACACUGGCUCCAUCAAAGACUUUUAUUAAAGCCACACAGGGAAAAAGCUGCCCUCUCAGACAGCUGUCGGUAUCGAGAAAACAUGAAAGAAACCAUCAGCUAUAAUCAGCUCAGGAAAUUUAUUGCAUGUUUGACCCUGAUGUGGCUGUGUGCUGCUCAAGGAAGAUUUCUUUGAAGGUGUUGCAAGUUUAUUGAUUGUGAAAAAUGUCAGUGUGUCACAUGCCCAAUGAACUUGGCACUUCUUGCAAUCAAUACACUAAUUGCCUUCUCUUUAGAGAGGCCUUUAAUGUAAUUAACCCUCCCCCCCCCACUUGUUUUGCCAACUAUCAUGUUUUAAUAAAUAGUUGAUCUGGGCUCUCUAUCCAGAGUGCCUCGGCAGAGCGGAGGGGAUGGAUUUCGUAGAGGAGACUGGCUUUCUCAUAGAGACCUAGCAUCCAUUUUCAGGAGCCCAUAAAGCUGUAUAUCAACUUAGCAGCAGUGCCUAUGUAACCCUCACACCUUCUAGGUGUGGUAUUCUGUCCCAUCUAAUGGCACUGACACUGCUUAGAGAGAAAAAGAGAUUGUAUGUGCUCUACAGCCUUAGCUAAUAGCCAGUUGGCUUUUAGCUCAUGCACUAAGCUCCAGAGGUCCCUGGUUCAAUCCUGCACACCGGCGACCAGGGUCUGUUGGCGUGAUAGAACACUACACCCAGAAAGUGUGUGGGUUACAUCUAGUCAGAGCCAAAGGCAUCAUUAUACUGAUUCAAUAACUGGUUUGUCUGUGCCUCUCUUCAGAUACAGAGGGACAAAAUCCCUUUAGUGGAGAAGAACGUAAGAGACUGAAAAGGUCCUAACCUCUCUGGACACUGAAUGGGGUGGCUGUUCAUGUGCUGGCGCAGGAAGGUCAUGUCUGAAAUGAAACGUUAGGAGAUGCACAGAUGGCAGCCUUGGGUUUGCUGGAAGCUCCAAUGUCACCGUUAAUUUACAUAUAUAUUGGCAGCGGCAAAAUUGAUAUAGCAGAGAUUAACUGGGGUUACAAACUGACUAACUGAUAGAUCUCAAGAUGUAAGUGUUAAUGGGGGCUCAGCACCUAAUGGAGGUGUUUCUAGGGCGUUCCCACAUGUAACUGUUCUGGGUCCAGUGCUAUUCAAUAUAUGUCUCAAUGAUCUGGAAUAAACUAUAUCAUUGCUGGUAAAGUCUGCAGCUGAUACACAAAGAUUGGCGGGUGGUUAAUGAUGAGGGCAGAUCAGUGAUAGAGAACAAUCUGGAUCCCUUGGUUUGCUGGGUGUGAUCAAACAACGGGUGUUUUAAUGCAGUUAGCUCCAGGGUCACCAGUUUGGAACCAAACGUGUAGGUCGCACUGAGAAGGUGUGGGGUUGUGUCCUGGAAAGCAGGGACUCUGCAAAUGACUUAGGGUCAGAGCAGAAACCAGCUGAACAUGAGCACACAGUGCAGUGCUGGGGCUAAGAGGGUGAACCUGGUGUAGACACUCCUCUGCAAGGCAGAGAGCUCCCAGGAGCUGGGAUUGGGGCUCCACGUGUGCUUAUGGGAAGCCAUGUAUAUUUAUGUCCCCAUAGUAACAGUGUCUUAGGAGGGGUAAUGCAGGCACAGAUCUACAGGGAACCGUGAUGUCAGAGCAGG